rnacentral:lncRNA from 1 species
GUGGUGCAUGGGGAGGCCCCGCCCUACCAGGCACGGAGGAGCCCCAGCAGCAUCUACAGGCCAAACCCAUAGUACGUCAGACGGAGCGGCGAGGGCCACCUCGCAGCCCUGCACAGCCUGCAGACCCAGGGCAUGGGCUUCUCACAACUACAGAAAACAACUCAACUCCUCUGGGAGAGUCAAAAAAAAGAGGAGGAGAAAGUAGAGAGUAAGUCCCCUCCCCACCAGGCUGCACAUGGCUGUGCCCCCGCCUGGUCCUCACCGGCCCGACCCCCUCGGCCCUGGCAGAUGGGGUUGGGGAGCUGACAGCUGGCCUGGCGGGGCUCCCCACCCCAGCCAGGUGGGGACAAGGGAGGCCUGUUGCCGUCAUUGACGUAUUUCAAAAGCAGGUUUCACUCUGAGUACUGACGCUGAGUUCCCGUUCCUCUGGGUCUUUGGGAAGCUACUCCGGGGCUUGGCUGGAUUGAAACAUAAAGAACAGAAAGUGUCCAAAAUGGAGUUUCCUAGAACUUCGGGAAAAUGGAGCAGGGGUUGUCAGCAGCGCCCUGGCCUUAUCUCUGAAGUGUGCACGGGAGCUGGCGGGCCUCUGGGAGGCCAGCCCCAUGGACUCCCCCCUCUCCUCACUGUCUUCCUCUCCGGCCAGCACGCUCAUCAUCCAGGGCCCCAGCCCCAUUUUGGAGAGCACCCCCUCAGUGUGGGAGCUUGCAGGGCAGUGUGGGAGGAAAUAGGCCCCGGGGCUCGGGGAUGCAGGGCAGGGAGGCUGCAGAGGACCCUGGGGAGCACCCAUCACUCCUGGCAGAAUUUAUCCAGGCAGGUCUGUUCCCAGAAGUCCCCAGUCUCAGGCCGUAAGGACUCAACUCUGAGCCAUCUGGGAUCCCAGGAAAGGGAAUGGGAGCCUGGCACCUGUGAGUACACCCCGAGGAGUGGGGCUCCAAGAGUGCUGGGGUCUCGGGGAGGCUGCAUGGGGUCACCCUCCUCUCCUGGGGACACCCCCUCCAGGCAUUGACCCCUGGAAACAAGGAGUGGGAGAGGGCGGCCCUGCAGCGUCGCGGCCCUGCCAGGGAAUGUGCUCACCCUGGCGCCCUGGUCGGGGACCCUGGGCAGGUGUGUGGGCCGCCACCCAGUGUGUGCUCCUGGCCCCGGCCACCCACCUGGAGCUCCAGGUGGCCCCAACUGGCCAGAGCUGUUGCGAGGUACUGGUCCCACCUGCUCACAGCACCUGCAGCAGAAUUUUAUCUGCCCCUGCAGGUGUCUGGAGCAGUCCUGGACUGCGCUGGGUAUGGAAGAGGCUGCCGCCCACCAACAGGUUCCCUUAGGGCAACAGCUGAGGUCAUGGCAGGAGCAACCCUUGUCACUGGCACACGACGGGGGGCAGCUGGUGCCACUCUGGGGUCCGUGGGUGGAGAGGGUGGGGUGGGAUGGAGGGACGGCUGUGUGGGUGGCCAGAGGACACACAGAGGACACGCAUGUGGGGCGCGUGGGGGUGGAGGGGUGGGUGGGGGGGAAGGGCGGGGGCUGGGGGUGGGGAAAGUGAUCUCUGGGAUACUGGACAGAUGGGGCAGAAGAAAACGUGAUGAGAGAGAAGAACCAGUCACUGGGGGCCGGGUGGCGCCGGCACGAGGACGGAGGGGCCGGCAUGCACAUGGCUGGGAUGGAUGGGGAUCGAUGCUGGAGUCAGGCUUUGGUGUCAGCUUGAGGAUCUAUUUGGAAAAACUGGCAAACAGAAGCCCUUUAGGCCCAUCUUGAUCCCUGUCACUGUGUCGUUUGGGUGAACCCCCCAUCCCCGCCGGCUCUCCCGCCAGCCCCCCAUCACUGAACCUCUCGGGCCUCUGUGGCCUGUCCCCACCUGGCUGGGCCUCGUGGGCCCUCCUGGGAGGCUGGCCCCUCCAGUCCUGCAGCCUCAGCCCUGGCCAGGUCCUGGGGCGGCCCUGGCAGGCAGAGGGGCUUGCGGGUGUUCAGCAGGCCCCUCCCAACACCCACUCCUUGAGCACCGUGGGAGACGCUGGUCUCUGCCUUGUUCAGGUCAGAGGACUGGACUGGAAGGAGCCGUCCGGGUGCACAGCCAUAGCACAGAGCCGGGCUCUGCUGGGGACUGGGAGGCCCUCUCAGAGGAAGGCUUCCUGGGUCCGAGGCUGGCCGGGACAAGGAGCAGUGAGGAGGAGUGGCAAAGGCUGAGGGGCGUGCAUCACGAGCCUCUUUCCAAAGAGGUCAUGUUGGUUCUGCUAACCCAUCAGGCCAUCGUCCGGCCGGGCCUUGGGCUCCCUCACGGCUGUCCUGUCCUGGCUGUGAUCUCAGGAUGGGAGAUGCAGCUGCCGUUUGGUUUGGGGUUUGAGGAAAAGGCUCUGAAGAGCGUUUGGCUUGCCAUGGUCCUGUCUUGACAGUGGCUGGCGGGAGGACAGCUUGGCAGGCUGCGCCUCUAGCCAGUGAUCUGUGAGCUUGUGGAGGUGGCAGCCGGGAAGGGGUAGAGACAGGGUGACUCUCCCCAGUCCAGGUGUGGCCCCUGCCCAGACCCCCCUCUGCCUGGGGGAAGAGAAGCAGAUGCCUGCAGGUGUAGACUGCAGGUCGGAACCAUGGGGAUGGGUACUCAUGGCCACCAAGGGGACCACCCCUAACACAAGAAUGCCGCCUGUCCCCGUCCCCUCCCCAGAGCUAUGGGUUCCACCUGGUUUGCUGUCAGGUCUUUGACCACCAGGGCCUGGGCAUAUGAGCUACAGAAAGACGGGCCUCUGAAGCAUCGGAGGGGGCCCCAGAGCCUUCCUGGGCAGGAGCUGCCUUGCUUCACGUGACUCGGCCAACACCCGCCCAGGGUUCCCUGACACAUUGCACCCAGGACAUCCCCUUCUUCUGUCUCCGGGCCUCAGUUUUCCCAGCUGUCCUGAUUCCUUGUGGCCCUCGGCCACAGGGCUCCAUCUGCCUGGUCUCUGGCCAGGUCCUCAUGCCAGUUUUGCACUCGUGCUGAGGGUGGCUUGGUGCAUGGUGGGGGGCUACGCAGGGCAGAUGGCAUUCAUCUUUGGCUCGAGGGCUGACCCCUUCCCAAGAUCUGAGGUGACAGGGCCUGUCUCACCCUCAGCCUUGUGGUCUGGCCCCUGGAGGCUGCUGGCCAGAUCGAUGCAGCCAGCUGGUGCACAUGCCACUGUCCCUGGUACACCUGUGUGUACCCAAAGAAGGAUCCAGGGAGGGGAGGGAAAAAGAGGAGGCUUUUGCCCACAAAGUAAACUCGUGUCUCCUCCACGCUCCCCACCACAGUCCUGACCCCAGGGACCUGAGUAACCAGGGAAGCUGCCCAUGGGUCCACUUGCCCUGGGGCUCGGUGCUCUAGAGACCACCGGUUCACCUGCACAGCCUUGGAGGGCCUGACUCAAUUUACCCCACAGCACUGUACCCAUUUCCUGUCCCCUAGAGCCUUUGAUCACCACAGCCAACUGCCCUGCCCACCUGGAAGGGCACUGGAGUGUGGGUGGGGACAAGAUGGAGCCCCAGUGGGGGAGAGAGAUGAGAAGAGUCCCAGGACGUCUACCUCCGAGGGAGGCAAGUCCCCUUCGUGGGCACGGGCGUGUCCGCUGCUGCCGCUGUGUGGGUUCGGAGCUGGAGAACCGCAGCCCUGGAAGGAGGAGAGGCGCGCUUCUGCCACUUAACCGAGAGCCCAAAUCCCAGACCGGUCCUUGCUUCUCUGAAACCCACAAAAGCAAACCUUGGGGAGCUUGCUGGGCCUGUCACUGAGGAAUGGAGGUGGUGCCGGGGCCAGGGCAAUGUCUGGAGGACAGACUCGAUCUAUCUUGACUUUCAGAACGAGGUUUCUGUUGUCAGACUUGGUUCCAGACGGUACCUGACCGGUGGUGACCCGACAGGAUCCAUCCUUAUGAUGCUCAAAGAAUGAAUUUUUACCACCGUGAAAGAACCACCAGCAGGCAAACCGCUCCUCCCCUCGGGGCCACUGUUCGGAUUUCUUUGAAAAUCUGUUUCCUACACUUCGCAAAC